AGAGAGAGACAUGCGCGCAUAUCAAUAAGCGGAGGAAAAGAAACUAACAAGGAUUCCCUUAGUAACGGCGAGUGAAGCGGGAAGAGCUCAAAUUUGAAAUCUUCAAGGUUUUACCUUGACGAAUUGUAGUUUAAAGAAGUGUUUUCUGCUGAAGUUUUGGUAAAAGUUCUUUGGAAUAGGACAUCAUAGAGGGUGAGAAUCCCGUAUUUGACCAUUAUUUUCAGCUUUGUGAUACACUUUCAAAGAGUCGGAUUGUUUGGGAAUGCAGUCCAAAAUGGGUGGUAAAUUUCAUCUAAAGCUAAAUAUUGGCGAUUAGUGACCGAUAGCGAACAAGUACCGUGAGGGAAAGAUGAAAAGAACUUUGAAAAGAGAGUUAAACAGUACGUGAAAUUGUCAAAAGGGAAGCGUUUGACACCAGUGUUGUUUUCUCGAAAAUCAAUUAAAAAUGGCUCGGAUUUUGUAGUUGCUAUUGACCUUAUAAGCUUCCUGUACAUCUUUUCUUGUCUUCUUUUAAUGCACUUUUCGUUUAACAAGUCAACAUCAAUUUCUUUUGUUGUAAAAGGGUCAUUGGAAGGUGGCUUUCUUUUCGGAGAAAGUGUUUAUAGCCUUUGGCCUCUGCAAUCGGAGAGACUGAGGUCUGCAGCGUAGACUCUUCGGGGUUAGAUACAUUUGUGCUAAGUUAUAGCCUUUUCAUAGACAACUUGUUGACUAUGAUUAGUCAUUGUAGCUUACUCGCUUAUGCUAUUUUACCUACGCUUAGGAUGUUGAAGAUGUAGCACAUCAU
rnacentral:rRNA from 1 species